GGGGCUGUAGUCUAGCAGCAGCUUCACAUAAUGUGAACUGCUAGAAAGGUAUGACGACUGUAAGCGGGUUAAGCAGCCGCAACCGUUAAGGGCUCCAGAGCCAGAAAGAACCGGGUUUGCGGACCUUCAAGGUCUGGAGCGUUGAGGAAACCCGUAGGUCGCCGGUUCAAGUCCGGCCAGCCCCACCA
rnacentral:tRNA from 1 species